rnacentral:lncRNA from 1 species
UUGAUGGAACAAUAAUGUUUUAUGUUUUCACAUAGUUUGUGGACUAGCUUGAACAUUUACCAAAAGUCCAUGGAUCAUAUUGAACAAAUAAAAAUUUUGGAGAUUACAUUGAGCAUUAAGUCAAAAUUUAUGAGCCUUAUAUUGUCAUCCGUUUAUAAUAAGUCACGCUCAACAACUUAUUCACCUUGAUCAGACGAAGCCUUCGCUUUUUCCUAAGGCUAGGAGCAUGUGAAGUUUAUGAUUUUAAUGGGUAAACUUUUGCCCACUUCACGCACGCUCCUUGGACAUCCCUUCGGUUCUUCUAUGGCUUUAGCUUCAUUUGUUAUGGAAGAUUAUUUUCUAUUAUCUUCGCAAUUACAAGCAACGAAAUCAUAACAUUCACUAACUUCCACUCCGUGCUCUAUCGAUCUGGUCAAAUUUUGAUUCGCAUUUUAUUUGAAUUGCGAAAUUAGGGAUGGAAGGGCGCUGAAAUUUGUCGACAGCAGGCAUUUUUCAUUGUAAAAAUAAUAAUAAAUGAACAUGUAAGCAAAAUUUAGGAAAUUGACAGUAGCGCGGCGCGGUCGGAGGCAAAGUCAUAAAUUUCUGCGUACGUAGAAGGAGCGGCUGGAUUAUAGAAGGCGUUGAAAAUCGCCCUUUCGUUUGGGCCCUUGAGGUCCUUUUUUCUGGGCCCAUCGAAUUUUGGUCAUUUCAUUUUCAUCACUUCCUCUCGCUAACUUUUCUUCGUUGCCCUAUCCUCUUUAUCCAUCUCGACCUUCUGAGCUGAAAGUAAGUUAUUAAGUUGCCUAGAUGAAAAGCGAAAGUGAUAGGGAUAUUUGGGUUCUCGCAAAUUUUAUCGGUUCCCGUCGCAUAUCGACAGUUGGAUAUCCCAUUCUCGAGCUUACUCUCCUUCAAAAAUUCUUUUACAAGUACAAAUAACGGAAAUGGGUACUUUUUUGCGUAGAAUGGGAAAGCAGGUCGACACAUCUUCAAUACCGGAUCAUUUAUGACUUGGGACCAUGGGUCUUCCGCCAUGCAUUUCUAUGUCUACAUGCCUCGUUCCAACCGCAUCGAGCGUGCCCCAACAACUCGAAACCCUGGGUAGCCCACUCUCGUGGGGGGCUACCCAGGCCUUUCAUUUCCCUGAACCCAGCCUAGUAUGUUAGGAGAAGGGCUUCACGGGGAUCCGAGGUGGGUUCCCCUCCCUUGGAGGGGUUGGCGGGGAAGCCCAAUGGGGACGUUAUCCCGUAAUCCCAGUUAAACCCUUGUAAAUGAGGCUAACUGGGCACCCUGGGAUGUCCGAUUCAGGGUGGAGCAGUUUAAGGACCUGCUCAGGUCCAGAAAGUGAUAGGGAUAUUUGGGUUCUCGCAAAUUUUAUCGGUUCCCCUUGCAUAUCGACAGUUGGAUAUCCCAUUCUCGAGCUUACUUUCCUUCAAAAAUUCUUUUACAAGUACAAAUAACAGAAAUGGGUACUUUUUCGCACGGGAUGAGAAAGCAGGUCGACACAUCUUCAAUACCGGAUCAUUUAUGACUUGGGACCAUGGGUCUUCCGCCAUGCAUUUCUAUGUCUACAUGCCUCGUUCCAACCGCAUCGAGCGUGCCCCAACAACUCGAAACCUUCCCAAUUGGCAGAGUCUACCCAUCUUUUGAACUACCUCAUCAUCAUCAUUAUCGCAUCAUAAACGUACCUUGACCAACAAAUCAUGCACAAAAGGAAUGAAGCAUGAACCAGCGCAAGAAGAGCAAAUGGCAGAGUUACACGCGAACGCUAGAGAUGGAGGAAUAGAAUGGUGGGGGCACGAGAAGGUGCUGAGGUGGGGGAGGGAUGGGCUGGAGCGGCACCAGAAUCCUGGAGCAGAAGAUUAAUAAAAAGAGAGAGAGAGAGCUCAGCGGAUCUAUCUCGCCAGAUCUGGAUUGUGCCCGUAUCGAUCUCUUGGCUCACAACUUUCUUGGGAUUUCAUCAUCUCUCUCUUUUUCUCAGCCGCGCAAAUAUAUAUUUUGCCCCUUUUUUAUUUUUCUUUUUAAAUUACUG